UAGUCCACGCCGUAAACGAUGUCUACUAGCCGUUGGGGCCCUUGAGGCUUUAGUGGCGCAGUUAACGCGAUAAGUAGACCGCCUGGGGAGUACGGCCGCAAGGUUAAAACUCAAAUGAAUUGACGGGGGCCCGCACAAGCGGUGGAGCAUGUGGUUUAAUUCGAUGCAACGCGAAGAACCUUACCUGGUCUUGACAUAGUGAGAAUCCUGCAGAGAUGCGGGAGUGCCUUCGGGAAUUCACAUAC
rnacentral:rRNA from 1 species